rnacentral:rRNA from 1 species
UACAGAGGUCUCAAGCGUUGUUCGGAUUCAUUGGGCGUAAAGGGUGCGUAGGUGGUGGCGCAAGUCUGGUGUGAAAUCUCGGAGCUUAACUCCGAAAUUGCACCGGAUACUGCGUUACUCGAGGACUGUAGAGGAGAUCGGAAUUCACGGUGUAGCAGUGAAAUGCGUAGAUAUCGUGAGGAAGACCAGUUGCGAAGGCGGAUCUCUGGGCAGUUCCUGACACUGAGGAGCGAAAGCGUGGGGGAGCGAACAGG